rnacentral:rRNA from 1 species
GAUGAACGCUGGCGGCGUGCCUAAUACAUGCAAGUCGAACGAACGGACCCUAACUUUGUUCCUUGCUCGUUUGGGGCGCCGGGGUGGGAAACAGGGGUAAACCUCCCUUUAAAUUUGGGGAAAAUUCGGGAAAACGGUACUAAACCCGGUAUAAUCUUUUGAUCCCCUGGGUUCAAAGGGAAAAUUCGGCUUUGCGGGAAUUACUCGUGGCUUCCCCGCUGCAUUAGCUAGUUGGUAAGGUACCGGCUUACCAAGGCAAGGAUGCAUAGACGACCUGAUAGGGUGAUCGGCCACACUGGAACUGAGACACGGUCCAGACUCCUACGGGAGGCAGCAGUAGGGAAUCUUCCGCAAUGGGCGAAAGCCUGACGGAGCAACGCGGCGUGAGUGAUGAAGGUCUUCGGAUCGUAAAACUCUGUUAUUAGGGAAGAACAUAUGUGGAAGUAACUGUGCACAGCUUGACGGUACCUAAUCAGAAAGCCACGGCUAACUACGUG